AGCGUAAUAGCUCACUAGUCGAGUCGGCCUGCGCGGAAGAUGUAACGGGGCUAAAACUAUGUGCCGAAGCUGCGGAUUUGACAUUAGUCAAGUGGUAGGGGAGCGUUCUGUAAGCCGAUGAAGGUGUAUUGAGAAGUAUGNAUGCUGGAGGUAUCAGAAGUGCGAAUGCUGACGUGAGUAACGACAAAACGGGUGAAAAACCCGUUCGCCGAAAGACCAAGGGUUCCAGUCCAACGUUAAUCGGGGCUGGGUGAGUCGACCCCUAAGGCGAGGCCGAAAGGCGUAGUCGAUGGGAAAAUGGUUAAUAUUCCAUUACUUCUGUGUAAUGCGAUGAGAGGACGGAGAAGGCUAAAUCAGCCUGGCGUUGGUUGUCCAGGUGAAAGGAUGUAGGCAUGUAUCUUAGGCAAAUCCGGGGUACUCUAUGCUGAGAUCUGAUAGCAAGCUGUACUUGUACAGCGAAGUGGUUGAUGCCAUGCUUCCAGGAAAAGUCUCUAAGCUUCAGUUACACAGGAAUCGUACCCGAAACCGACACAGGUGGUCAGGUCGAGUAGACCAAGGCGCUUGAGAGAACUCUGCUGAAGGAACUAGGCAAAAUGGUACCGUAACUUCGGGAGAAGGUACGCUGUUGUUGGUGAUGGAACUCGCUUCCUGAGCUGACGACAGCCGCAGAAACCAGGCCGCUGCAACUGUUUAUUAAAAACAUAGCACUCUGCAAACACGAAAGUGGACGUAUAGGGUGUGAUGCCUGCCCGGUGCUGGAAGGUUAAUUGAUGGGGUUAGCGUAAGCGAAGCUCUUGAUCGAAGCCCCAGUAAACGGCGGCCGUAACUAUAACGGUCCUAAGGUAGCGAAAUUCCUUGUCGGGUAAGUUCCGACCUGCACGAAUGGCAUAAUGAUGGCGGCGCUGUCUCCAGCAGAGGCUCAGUGAAAUCGAAAUCGCUGUGAAGAUGCAGUGUACCCGCGGCUAGACGGAAAGACCCCGUGAACCUUUACUGCAGCUUGACACUGAACUUUGACCUUACUUGUGUAGGAUAGGUGGGAGGCUUUGAAGCUGGAACGCUAGUUCCAGUGGAGCCGUCCUUGAAAUACCACCCUGGUAAUGUUGAGGUUCUAACUCUGUCCCGUGAUCCGGGACGAGGACCGUGUCUGGUGGGUAGUUUGACUGGGGCGGUCUCCUCCUAAAGAGUAACGGAGGAGUACGAAGGUGCGCUCAGCGUGGUCGGAAAUCACGCGUAGAGUAUAAAGGCAAAAGCGCGCUUAACUGCGAGACCCACAAGUCGAGCAGGUACGAAAGUAGGUCUUAGUGAUCCGGUGGUUCUGUAUGGAAGGGCCAUCGCUCAACGGAUAAAAGGUACUCUGGGGAUAACAGGCUGAUACCGCCCAAGAGUUCAUAUCGACGGCGGUGUUUGGCACCUCGAUGUCGGCUCAUCUCAUCCUGGGGCUGAAGCAGGUCCCAAGGGUAUGGCUGUUCGCCAUUUAAAGAGGUACGCGAGCUGGGUUUAGAACGUCGUGAGACAGUUCGGUCCCUAUCUACCGUGGGCGCUGGAAAUUUGAGAGGAUCUGCUCCUAGUACGAGAGGACCAGAGUGGACGAACCUCUGGUGUACCGGUUGUGACGCCAGUCGCAUCGCCGGGUAGCUAUGUUCGGAAGGGAUAACCGCUGAAAGCAUCUAAGCGGGAAGCCUACCUCAAGAUAAGAUUUCCCUAGGACUUUAUGUCCUCUAAAGAGCCGUUCGAGACUAGGACGUUGAUAGGUUGGAUGUGGAAGCAUAGUGAUAUGUGAAGCUGACCAAUACUAAUUGCUCGUGAGGCUUGACUAUACAACACCCAAGCAGUUG
rnacentral:rRNA from 1 species